ACUGCUCAGUAACACGUAGCUAACCUGCCCUCGGGACAAGAACACCCCCGGGAAACUGGGGCUAAUUCUCGAUAGGCGAAGAACUCUGGAAUGAGUCUUUACCCAAAAGACGUUUAGAUCAUGCUUCUAGGCGUCGCCCAAGGAUGGGGCUGCGACCGAUCAGGUAGUUGGUGAGGCAAUGGCUCACCAAGCCUUUAACCGGUGCGGGCCGUGGGAGCGGGAGCCCGGAGAUGGGCACUGAGACAAGGGCCCAGGCCCUACGGGGCGCAGCAGUCGCGAAAACUUUGCAAUAAGCGAAAGCUUGACAGGGCUAUCCCGAGUGCCAUCCGCUGAGGAAGGCUUUUACCCAGUCUAGUAAGCUGGGGGAAUAAGGAGAGGGCAAGUCUGGUGUCAGCCGCCGCGGUAAUACCAGCUCUCCGAGUGGUGUGGAUGUUUAUUGGGCCUAAAGCAUCCGUAGCUGGCUGAGUUAGUCCCCUGUUAAAUCCACCGAAUCAAUCGUUGGAUUGCGGGGGAUACUGCUCGGCUAGGGGACGGGAGAGGCAGACGGUAUUUCCGGGGUAAGGGUGAAAUCUUAUAAUCCCGGGAAGACCACCAGUGGCGAAGGCUGUCUGCUAGAACGCGCCCGACGGUGAGGGAUGAAAGCUGGGGUAGCGAACCGGAUUAGAUACCCGGGUAGUCCCAGCCGUAAACGAUGCAGGCUAGGUGUUUGGGCGGCCACGUGCCGCUCUAGUGCCGCAGGGAAGCUGUUAAGCCUGCCGCCUGGGGAGUACGAUCGCAAGAUUGAAACUUAAAGGAAUUGGCGGGGGAG
rnacentral:rRNA from 1 species